GCGUCGGUGGUGGAGUGGUCAAUCACAACAGACUGUAAAUCUGUCGCCUUACGGCUACGCAGGUUCGAAUCCUGCCCGGCGCACAA
rnacentral:tRNA from 1 species